rnacentral:rRNA from 1 species
UGGCGAACGGGUGAGUAAUGCGUGACCAACCUGCCCCAUGCUCCAGAAUAGCUCUUGGAAACGGGUGGUAACGCUGGAUGCUCCAACUUGACGCAUGUCUUGUUGGGAAAGUGUUUAGUGGCAUGGGAUGGGGUCGCGUCCUAUCAGCUUGUAGGCGGGGUAAUGGCCCACCUAGGCUUCGACGGGUAGCCGGCCUGAGAGGGCGGACGGCCACAUUGGGACUGAGAUACGGCCCAGACUCCUACGGGAGGCAGCAGUA